rnacentral:lncRNA from 1 species
GACCUGGGCUCAGAUUUCUAUACCUAGGAUCUUAAGCAUCAUCAUCUGGUAAACUCUAGGCCACGGACACUUCCCUGCAGCAACCCAUUUCUACUUUCCCAGUGUAGUUUGAAAUCGGUGCCGCAUCCAUUACCUUUAUGAGCAUUUUGUCCUUUAUGAGCAAAAGCAGCUGAUGAAGACUUACUGCUAAACCUUCUCCACUAUGAUAAUGCUGAGGUGGCACCUCUGGAGUCAGUGCUAGUUCCCACAGCGUAAGACUCUGAAGCGUUUUCCUGGUGGAUUACAGCUCCAUCCAUAUUCCUUUCACCACAGAAUCACAAGUUUUGGAUUCAAAGUUCGGCAGAGAGAGAAGCCGAUGAUUCUUCGGAUUUUUGCUGACCCCGAGGUUAGCAGCAGUAAAGCAGCGGGAACAAAUCCGGCUUGAAUCAGGUCCAACCCCAC